ensembl:lncRNA
CUCAUCAGAUAGAAACCAAGCUUUUGUAUAGCUGGUAAUACCCACAUUGUUUUGGUUUUAGUGGCAUAUUGUUUAAGUGUGAAUUUUCUCAGAAUCUUAUUAAGAUCCUUGGUAGAAAGCUUAGUGUUGAGGAGAUUAUACUCUCUUGAAAGUGAGUUCUUAUUAAGGAAAACCACAGGACAUCAGACUCUCCAUAUUCUUUUCUUGUUUAUUUAUAUUGUUUCCUUCUGUAUAUUUUCAAUUAAGUACAAUAUUAAAACUAAAGUUACUUCUUUUACUUAGGAUGUGUGUGUGUGUGUGUGUGCUCAUGCUCAGUCAUGCCCAACUCUUUGUGACCUCAUGGACUGUAGCCCACCAGCUUCCUCUGUCCUGGAAUUUUCCAAGCAAGGAUACUGGAGAGGGUUGCCAUUUCCUACUCCAGGGGACCGUCCCAACCCAGGGAUAGAACCUGUGACUCUUGCAUUGGCAGAAAUCCUUUCUAAGGGUAUCAUCAGAUAUGCCACGAGAUAUAUACAAAAUCUGUUUGACAACCUAAAGGUCCAUUGAGAUGAAUGGAUAAAGAAGAUGGGGUAUAUAUAUAUACACAUGAUGGAAUAUUACUCAGCCAUAAGAAAGAAUGAAACAAUGCCAUUUGCAGCUACAUGGAUGGACCUACGGAUUAUCACACUAAGUAACGUAAGUCAGAAAAAAAAAAAGACACGUUCCAUAUGAUGUCAUUUAUAUGUGGAAUCUAAAAUAUGAUAAAAUGAACUUAUCUGCAAAACAGAAGCAGACUCACAAACAGAAAACAGAUUGUGGUUGCCCAGGGGAGGGGGGGAGUGGGGGUGGGUUAGACUGAAAAUUCAGGGUUAGCAGGUGCAAACUAUUAUACCUAGAAUGGAAAAACAACAAGGUCCUGUUAUAUAGCACAGGGAACUGUAUUCAAUAUUCUGCAAUAAACCAUAAAGGAAAAGAAUAUGAAAUCAAAUUGUAGUACAAUAUACAUAUAACAUGGACUUUCCUGGUGGCUCAGAUGGUAAAGAAUCUGCAAUGUGGGGGACCUGGGUUUGAUCCCUGGGUUGGGAAGAUCCUCUGGAGAAGAAAAUGGUAGUUCACUCCAAUAUUCUUGCCUGGAGAACUCCAUUGACAGAGGAGCCUGCAGUCCAUGGGGUUGCAAAGAGUCAGAUAAGACUGAGUGACUUCACUUUUAUUUUUCACCUCUGAAAAAAAUGUGUUUUGAAAACUUAUAAACUGUUUCAAAUGAUUAUAAAUAGGAAAUCGG